UGACAGUACUCCUACGGGAGGCAGCAGUGGGGGAAUAUUGCACAAUGGGCGCAAGCCUGAUGGAGCAACACCGCGUGAGUGAAGAAGGCCUUCGGGUUGUAAAGCACUUUCAGUUGUGAGGAAGGUGGUGUCGUUAAUAGCGGCAUCAUUUGACGUUAGCAACAGAAGAAGCACCGGCUAACUCCGUGCCAGCAGCCGCGGUAAUACGGAGGGUGCGAGCGUUAAUCGGAAUUACUGGGCGUAAAGCGCAUGCAGGUGGUUUGUUAAGUCAGAUGUGAAAGCCCCGGGGCUCAACCUCGGAACUGCAUUUGAAACUGGCAGACUAGAGUACUGUAGAGGGGGUAGAAUUUCAGGUGUAGCGGUGAAAUGCGUAGAGAUCUGAAGGAAUACCGGUGGCGAAGGCGGCCCCCUGGACAGAUACUGACACUCAGAUGCGAAAGCGUGGGGAGCAAACAGGAUUAGAUACCCUGGUAG
rnacentral:rRNA from 1 species